GACGAACGCUGGCGGCGUGCCUAAUACAUGCAAGUAGAACGCUGAAGGAGGAGCUUGCUUCUCUGGAUGAGUUGCGAACGGGUGAGUAACGCGUAGGUAACCUGCCUGGUAGCGGGGGAUAACUAUUGGAAACGAUAGCUAAUACCGCAUAAUAGCAGUUGUUGCAUGACAGCUGUUUGAAAGGUGCAAUUGCACCACUACCAGAUGGACCUGCGUUGUAUUAGCUAGUUGGUGGGGUAACGGCUCACCAAGGCGUCGAUACAUAGCCGACCUGAGAGGGUGAUCGGCCACACUGGGACUGAGACACGGCCCAGACUCCUACGGGAGGCAGCAGUAGGGAAUCUUCGGCAAUGGACGGAAGUCUGACCGAGCAACGCCGCGUGAGUGAAGAAGGUUUUCGGAUCGUAAAGCUCUGUUGUAAGAGAAGAACGAGUGUGAGAGUGGAAAGUCCACACUGUGACGGUAUCUUACCAGAAAGGGACGGCUAACUACGUG
rnacentral:rRNA from 1 species